rnacentral:rRNA from 1 species
CUAGCAGUAUCAGAGUUUGUCCUGGCUCAGAGCGAACGCUGGCGGCAGGCCUAACACAUGCAAGUCGAACGGAUCCUUCGGGAUUAGUGGCGGACGGGUGAGUAACACGUGGGAACGUGCCCUUUGGUUCGGAACAACUCAGGGAAACUUGAGCUAAUACCGGAUGUGCCCUUCGGGGGAAAGAUUUAUCGCCAUUGGGGCGGCCCGCGUCUGAUUAGCUAGUUGGUGAGGUAAAGGCUCACCAAGGCGACGAUCAGUAGCUGGUCUGAGAGGAUGAUCAGCCACAUUGGGACUGAGACACGGCCCAA